GCACUGCUGAUGAGUCUCAAACAGGACGAAACAGCUGUCCAUUGC
rnacentral:hammerhead_ribozyme from 1 species